UACAGAGGUCCCAAGCGUUGUUCGGAUUCACUGGGCGUAAAGGGUGCGUAGGUGGUGAGGUAAGUCGGAUGUGAAAUCUCCGGGCUCAACCCGGAAAUGGCAUUGGAAACUACCUUGCUGGAGGAUUUGAGGGGGGAUUGGAAUACUUGGUGUAGCAGUGAAAUGCGUAGAUAUCAGGAAGAACACCUAUGGCGAAGGCAGCUCUCUGGGACGGUACUGACGCUGAGACGCGAAAGCGUGGGGAGCGAACAGG
rnacentral:rRNA from 1 species